ACUGUGUGUUGGUGGAUGUGCGGCUGGAUAUCAGGGAACAGACUGUACUCAAGUAUCUCCUGUUACAAUCGGCGUCAUUGGGGGAGCAGUAGGAAUUGCUGUAAUAUUGCUGAUUGGUGGGCUGAUGAUAUGUCUGCUGAAGGCUGGAAGACUGAAAUUGAUUCCCACAACUACCACAGACCCUCAAGAGUUGAGAAAGACGGACACGCCCAACACUGGAGAGAUGUCUAUUCAUGUGCCCACUUCCGAUGUUAAUGGUCAAGACUAUACAACAUUGAAUGAACUCACCAGGGAGGACAAGUCACUGUACGAUGUUAUUCAGAACGAAAACAAUCAAAUCUAAGAAAAGAUGUACGCAUCAUUGUCUCGGAUAGUGCAACAUUUAAAUAUAUAUCUUUAGGAUUACUUCAUUGGUAUCCAUAUGCAUUAGAAAGCAAAGUACCAAUGUCAAAUAGAAAAUGUCAAAUUGCAGUGCUGAUGCCAGCUGCUGAAAUGUCUGAACCCCCUUUGUGAAUAUCGGAUGUGCCUUUGAAAAAUAAGUAAUAGUUCUCUCUCACUCAAAUUACAAGUUUUGCAUAUAUCAAGCUGAAUAUCUAGUUAUGGCCUUUGGCCGUCGUAUGUAAAAAAGGUAUUCAACAAAAGCGCGGUAUUCCAGCUGAUGGUGACACUAUCCAGGGACCUGUUGAGCUUUGCCCGAAGGAAACGUGUGAUUAUACGGAAAUAGUAUGAUAAUAAAUUGUGGCAGAUAAAAUAUUUAGGUUGUCCACAUAACGUC